rnacentral:rRNA from 1 species
UACGGAGGGUGCAAGCGUUAUCCGGAUUUAUCGGGUUUAAAGGGUCCGCAGGCGGACUAGUAAGUCAGUGGUGAAAAGCUGCCGCUUAACGGUAGUCUUGCCAUUGAUACUGUGAGUCUUGAGUUUGGAUGAGGUAGGGGAAUGUGCAGUGUAGCGGUGAAAUGCAUAGAGAUUGCACAGAACACCGAUUGCGAAGGCAGCUUACUAAUCCACGACUGACGCUGAGGCACGAAAGCGUGGGGAUCAAACAGGA